UAGGAUGGCCGAGCGUUAGGCGAUGGGCUGUAGCUCCACGAACGGGGGUUAAAAUCCUCUUUUUAC
rnacentral:tRNA from 1 species